ACAAGUAGUAAAUUCAACAUUACAUAAAAGGUCGAAGAGUAUAGAAAAAAAAUUAUAAUAAAAGGUUAUAAUCUUUUUACUCCUACCUUAAAAAAAUACUAAAAAUUUUAAGUGUUUAAAAUUUUUUAAAAAAUUCGAAAGAAGAGAUGUAUUAAAAAAAUAAUAAUAAAAUUUUAGAGUUUAAAAAAUUUAUAAAUAAAUUAUUAUGUUUCAACUCUUUUAUUUUUUAAAAGAAAAAAAUAUGAAUCAAAAUUUUUAAUAUUUUUUUUAUAAAUUUCGAUGGUUACGGAGUAAAAGAAAUAUUUUUGAUCUAUAUUUUUUAUCAUAAAAACAUAAGAGAGAUUAAAAAAAUUAUAAAUUUUCUAUAAAUUUUUUAGAUAUAAAAAUUCGAAAGUGAAAGUAAAGAAAAAAAAACAAAAUAGAAUCAGAGUAUUAAAAGAAAAAAAAAAAGAAUAAAAGGGUGAAUGGACCAUUUCAGAAAUUUAUGAUAACAUUUUAUAAUUUCUUUACUACUCCCACCUAUGUUUUUUAUUAAAAAAAAGGGGAUUAUAAAAAUAAUUUUGAGAUAAAAUUUUCGGAGAUGGUAGUAAAAACAAAAUGUAGUACGAAUAAAAAUUUGUGGUCAGAAAUAAGGGUGGAGGACGAGUACUCCUAGAGGAGAGUUUGCGAGGGAGAUAUUGAUUAAAAAAAUUAUGUUCUUAUGUAAUGUAAUUUUAUUGACUUAUUGAUAUGCUAAAAGUUAUUACUUUUAUUAUGUGUUUUUGACAAAUCAAAAUACUAACAAUUUUAAAGUGUUUAAAAAUUUAAUAAUUAAAUAUGUUCAAAACAUCUAUUAAAUUCAAAAUGUAAAACUAAGUAACAUUAGUGUUUCCAAAAAAAAGUUAUGUUAAUUAGGUUUUGUAUUAGAUGUUAUAAAUGAUAGAUCAAACAAAUAUUAAAAGUUUAAUUAUUUAAAAUUGUAAUAAACUAACAUUAUUAUAUGUUCAAAAUAUAUAUAAAAAUUCAAAAUGUGAAGUAAAAAAGAAUUAAAAAAAUUUGAUCAUUUUUUUUAAAUUAUAAAAAAAAAAACAAAAGAUUAAAAACAUUCUCUUUCUAAAAAUAGUUAUGAAAAAUAAAGAAAAUUGAUAAAGAAAUAAAAAAAUAUUUUUUAAUUAAAAAAUAAUUACAAAAAAAGGAAGAAUUGGGUGGAAUGAUAUGGUUGGGGCUGGAUGGAGAGCGAGAGAGGAGGAGAGAGAGAGGAGAGGAAGAUGUGGGGUGGGAAUCGGGGGUGGGGGCUGGGGUGAAAAGCAUGGAGAGAGAGAGAGAGAGAGAGAGAGGCCCGGUGGAGAGAGAGAGGACCGCGUUGAUGGGAGAGGGCAAAAAUGGAAUCACAAAUUAUAUUGUCAACCUAGGGGGGUGUCUGGACAGUGGGGGGUGGGAUUAUUUAUUGAAUCUUUUUAUGGUUGAAAUGACGAUGGGUGACAGGUGGCCAAAGUUGAUUAUGGGUGAGGUGACAAGUAAGGAUGUGACAGCCUAUCAAUAAAGAAACUCAUGGCCUGUAUUAUUGACUGAUGUUAAUUCAGGGAAAUGAUUCCGUGCACAACAAGUGUGAAAUAAAAUGCCACAAUAAGGAGAGAGACAAAAAUACAAAAAAAGCAACCCUGGUGUGGGUCCCACCCCUUGUGUGUGAGACCCACUUUUUUGUGUCUUUCUCUUUGUGUGCAUUAUGUGAACUGGUUGUGACACAUAGCAUUUCUCCUUAAUUAAAAAUAUCAGUUUAACUUAAUACUGUGUGGGAUUGUAUCCGUGUAUUCUAAGUAUUUUCAGUCAUAUUUUGAAUUAAUUGUAAUGAUCUAAAACUGAUCUUAUUAUAGAUUUCAUAAAAAACUUUAAUAUUAUAAAAUUAAUUUAAUCAGAGAUCGAUCAAUGAUCGUUCAAUAAUAAUUUAUAUGAAGAUAAAUGAAUACAAUUUAUAUAUCACACUCAUUUAUUAAGUUAUAAAACAGUAUUGACGGACAAUGAAUAUCCAAUCGACGUGAUUUUUUACGGUAUUCAUAUUUAUGACGAAGUCUAUAAUAUAAACGAUUUGGAUCAUUAAAAUAAGUCUAAAACGGAACUCAAAAUAUUUAGACUACGCUGAUACAAUCCAAUUACUGACAUUCAGAGAAGCGAGGCGCACAACGAAACUCUACCGUUGUUUUAUUGACUUUGGUGUUUAACUAUAAUGUCCUUUUUAAUUUCCAUAGACUCCAUAUCAAAGAAUGAUUCUCAGUGAGUAAUAGUAGUUGCAGAUGUAACACUAUAUUAUUAUGUUUUUGUGGUUGUAUUUGCAGAGAAACACGCUUUUUCUCCAUGCAAUUGAUGGAUAAACUAAUGUACAUUGUUAGGUGGGUAAAUCAAAUCAAAAUAUUUCAAUCUAUUAGUUGAGCGUUAACAUAUUACUAAUAUGUUUGUUAGGAAAUAAUGUUCACACUUCUCUUGAAUUUCUCUAAAAAUACUUAUUUAUUUUUGCCUUGUAUGGUUAAAUUACGAAAAUAGUAUACGCAUGAAUUCAAAAUGAGUCAUAAUAUUGAUGGACGGACAAUUUCGUAAUUUUGCAUAACAAAAAAAAUGGUAGUGGUUUAGAAGGCAAAACAUUUUUCUAAGUUUAUUAUUUUAAUUUCUAAUAUUUUUUAAAAAACUUGAAAUUGAGAGUUUUAAUUCUAGAUGUUGGCACUAUUGAUUUCCAUGCCACCGAAGAGCAGCAUGAUGAGAAUGCUGACAUGGAAUUCGAUCCAGUGUACAGGAUUGCUCUGGAUUUAGACUCGUUGAUGGUACGACCUUUUCUAUUGGUUGACUUUUCAAGAUUCGACAUAUCGCUUGGAAUGUGUUGGCUAGGACAAUUAAACGUUCGCGAUGCACCCAAUCAAACCACGCAACUAACGAUUCCCAGGUUUAAAAUUUCUAAAGAACUCCGCGAUGUGUCGCGCUGUGGCGCAGUGGGUUCCGGCGUGAUCGGGAAUGGUUCAUGUUAUAAUGCUUAUCGGUAGAUUAUUCAUAAAGAAUAAGAUGAUAAAAUUUAUUAAACAUAUGAUAGGUCAAUUUUUUAGAACAAAUAUGGCGCAAAUCUAAUUUGUGAAUAUAAUUAUUAAUACAGAUAGGAUUGACAUGUUACUCAAGAUUUUCGAUUAUUCUAAUUUUUGUAUGAGUUAUGUACUUGAUGAGCCGUAUAAUGUGAACGGUUUCAAUUAUAAUAAUGAGGCGGUAGCAUGUCAUGCUCAAUUUUUUUUUUUAAUUUUGAAUUUUUUAAUUCUUUAUUUAAAAAAAUAAUUUUUGUUCAAUAUUUUUUAUUUUUCUAGCGCGUAUCGCUAGAAGGAUAGGAGGAAAAAGAUAAAAAAAUAUUUUUAUCCACGUUUUAGUAAAAAUGAAUUUUAAGAAUUUAAAAUAGUCUAUUUUUUCAAAUAGAGGAUUUUAAACACAUCCCUUUAGUUUCUUUUUAUACAUCGUGACCCGUAUGCAUAGAACACGUUAUAUCUAGGGAUGGCAACGGGACGGAUUUGGGGAAGGUUCGGCCUCCCCCAUCUCUGCCCCUUUAAUAAACGGGUUGGGACUUCCUCCCCCCACCCCCGCCCCCGCCCCCGCCCCAUUUAAUAAUUUUUUUAAUUAUAUAUAUUUUUUAUAUAAUAUUGAUAUAUAAGAUAGCUAGAUCGAUAGAUAGAUAGUAAGGAUAUUACGGUAUAUUUUAAAAAAAAUAGGGGUAAUUUUAAUUUUUUACACAUAAUAGGGAUAAAUCGGGUGGGGUCGGGGUCGGGUGGAGGGGCUAAACCCGCCUCGCCCCGAUAUAAUCGGGUUUUGAUUUUUUCCUCACCCCCGCCCGCCCUCAUUUAUUCCUCCCCCAAACCGUCUAAACUGGCAGGGCGGGCCCGGAAUUAAUCGAGAAAAUUGUCAUCCUAGUUAUAUUAUGAAAAGAAGAAACUAGCGGCACCUUUUGUAAAAAAAAAAAAUGGGGUGAAAGAGAUUUAUGGUGCAUUUAACAAUUUCCAACUGCGUGAUCUUCCCACACUUGCAACGCUCCCCCCCCCCCCCGCCCAUCACCAUGACACCACAACUACCAGCCGAUCAUCCCCCACCCUACCACCCACUGCAACCCCUCUCUCCCUAUUACCUAUGGUGGCAUCCUUACACCAUAUAUAUAUAUAUAUAUGGUUGAGAUUAUCUCCUGGAGUUGACCGAAAAUACUUGGAUAAGAAAAAAAGUACAUUGAAAGACGCACUAUUUUGCCAUAAAACACACCGCAUGCACAUGCACAUUAAAUUUCCGUUAUAAUCAUAAGCGGAGUACCCAUUGGAUUUAUUAGAGAUCAAAAGCAAAUGUAAGGUUAAAAUUAUUCCCAUAAAUACAUAAAUUUUAUCAAAAAUAAUCAAUUUUGAACUUAUUUUGUACUAAAGCCAAUAUACUUUUGGUCUUAUGUACAAUAUUUUGAAUAAAUGGUUCUAAACUCGCAUUCAAUAUAAUAAAUAAAUAAAAAGUUAAUGGCUGGGAUGACCACAUUUUGGUAAUUUCUAAAAAUAUGAAGCGAUUUAUUAUAAUUUAUAUAGUAAAAACAAAAACUAAAGUUUAUUCAGUGAAAAGUGAAACGCAAAAAUCACCCUAAAAAGUUAUCCAAACGGAGCCUAAGUGUAUCUCAUGGAUUUCAAGGCUGAUACUGCAAUGGUGAAACAUACCUUUGAGUGCCAUUUUAAACGCCAAAUGAUGAGCCAAAAUACAAUGAAACUACCAUACUUUUGAUCCCCCACAAACCAAGUUGGCCGCCCUCCAUCUUUAUGUGAACUCUCCGGUUCCCCUCAGAAUGGCAAAAAGAGAGUGUUACUUUCUCUCAAGCAAGGCAGGAGGCUAAGUGUGGACUAUUGGUUUUUGGUUUUUCAGUUUUUUCGGUUUUGAGUUUUUUAUUUGAUAAUUUUUUUUCCGUUUAAUCAAACUUUUAUACUUUUUUAGUUCUUUUUGAAAAGAGGAGUCCGAAAAUGUAAAUUUUUUAUCGAAUUUAAGAAUUAAAUAAUUUUUUUAUAUUUCCAACUCUUUCAUAGUAGAAACCGAAAAAGUAUAAAAUAAUUUAAUACUGUAAUACAUUAUAAGUGUCGAUUAAAUUAAUUUUUGACAUGAAUCACUGUUAAUAUCUAUAAAAGGAAAAAGUUCAGAUUACCAUAUAAUAACUUGACAUAAAACAAUAUCCAUGUAUAUUGAUAGUACACUAUUCGAGGAAGUUGGAAAGAAGGUGAUGGGAUUAUGAAGAGGGAGGUAAUGGUGAUGGAAUUGAGUGGACAUUGCAGGAGCAACAAAUGAGCGUGAGUGUGUUGAUGAAUGUGAUGGUGGUGAGUUAUGUGGCUUCACAUUGAUUAGAAGAGGCCUGUCCAAGAGCAUUUUGUUCUUGAAGGCCAGAGGUCAGGGAAGUUGCACUUCCCAGAGGAUGGAUUGGAGGAAGGACUAUGACCUUCUUGAUGCUCUGAUGUGGGUAAGCCCUCUCUCUCUCCCUCUCUCACACACACACACACACACUCACACAUGGCUACAUGUUUCAUUCUGUAUCAUAUUCUCUCAGGUGAAUUUGGUUGCUGGGUACUACGACCGGGGGGGAGGGCGGCCAACAUCAAUUCAACUUCAAUGGCGGGGACUUCUGUACCACCAUGCUGGCAAGUUCAUGGGCUCGGACUUAAAGUACGCUCUGGAGGCUAUUAGGUGAGUGACCGACUACUUUCUUAAAGCCACGAGAGUCCCGGGGGGUGGUGGUGUAAGCGCGGGUUGGCGAGCUCUAUGGCAAUCACCGUUGCUAGGAAAGGCCUGAAGACAUGGACACCCCGCGAACAACCUACAAAGUAAUGAAAACGAAACCGGGAUCCGAAGUUUCGGGGGAGAUUGUAGCCGUUCUAGCGGGCUCUUCCUUGGGGAAGUUUCAUCCAAUGUAUAUUAAGAGCCAACUGGACUUAUUCUUCACACAUGUUCCCAACAAUCUCUCCCUCAUGUGUGAACGGUGCAUUGUCCUUUACUCCCCUUUAAAUUUUUGAUUAGCUGAGUCAUACAGAUCCCAGUAAUACUUAAUUUAUUAUUCUUAAACAUCGUGACCCAAACCCGGCUUUUCACUGCACUCACUUCAUCAAGAGCCACCCACAUUACUCAUCGGAGCCACCUUGCGCGUAGGCUACAAGCCGCAGCCACCUUGCUCCAUCGAGAGUUUCCUUGGAUUUAUUUCGCUCCAUCGAGAUCUCUUGCAAGUCCAUAAACAUAGGGCGUUGUCGCCCAUAGAUCGCUAACUAUCAGCUCUGAUACAGAUUGUUGUGCUCAAAACGAAUCACCGAUCACAUACACAAGACAAUAGAUAGAAAUUUACGAAGUUCGGCCAAUGAUGCCACGUCCACGGAAAGAAAUCAACAAUUAAUCCACUAAUCGAACAAAUGGAUUACAAAUGAGGAGAUUUACCCUCUCAACUCACUCUCUCACAAUCUCUCUCUGUCUUGCUCCACUUUCAAACUCAUAGCAUACGCUUUCAGGUCACAAAUCUCAGUCCCACCAUCCCAUUUAUAGACUAACGAAAGGAGGUGGUAAACUUCCGUAGGAUACAAAUAGUUAUCAUAGCUAUCUAGAGAUAAUCCUCUCAAGAGUUCUAAAUAACUCGAGAGUUUCACUCUCACAUGGACACUCCAUGAAGUCCCAACGAGUUUGCUUGGUUACUGAGGUUGGACUCAUUUAAAGUGGCUUGAACUCAUCCAGUUGGGCUGGAAUCAACACUUACAACGAUUCUUGGUCCAGCAGUGUGCCCAUUCUACUGUGAUUACAAUGGCUACCAGGUAAUGAUGCAUUAGCAAGACAGAGCGAAGAAGGAAAAACCCCACAAAAUUAAAAAAAUAUGGUAAAAGUUUGCAUUUUGGAGUAAUAAUUCAUAAACUUGAAGCCCCACAGGAUGAGCUUGAUCUGAGGCAGAUGGCUACACAAAUCACUAGGGCCCAACUUAUUAUUGGAAUUCUGUUACCAAGCAUGCACAAUAUAGAGUUGAUUUUUCCUGAAUUCGGAUUGGGACGCGAAGCACGCUGGAAUCAACAUACUUGUUUCGAAGGUAUUGUUCGUUUACUUUCUUAUUGAUACGGGUUAGAUACGGACAGUUCAUGGUGCAUCGUUGCUUUCUUUCUUUUCGGAUUUUUAUUUCAAUUGGAAUUUUGCAAUAUACUUUAGACGUCAAAUGGGGUUUUGGGGAUAUAGGACUUGAGGCUCCCCAAUUUCUAUUUUUGGGCGGAUUUUCCUCUUCCUAUAACUUCUUUUUCCGAUAUUUCCUCUAGUCCAUUUGAUCCAAUUUGUUCUUAUGUGUUAUAAUUUGAUGAAGACGACCUUAAAAUUCUACACCUCUUUUAACCAAAUACAAUAAAACAUAAAAAUGCAACAAGUUUAUGUGGAAAAAAUAUUGCCAAAUCGCCAACAAAAACUGACGCGUAUUCUCUAAGUAUUUUUGUUUAUCCUGUUUCAGCGAACUUUUUCUAUUUUUUGGUCAAUUUGUCUUUCGUAGAGAAUGAAAAAAUAAAAUUCAAAAAGAGAGUAAAUUGCACUGAAUACAAAAAUCACUCACUAAAUGUGCAAUUUAUUCCAACAUUGGCAUAGGUGGGCUUCUAUUCAAACCAGGAGGAAGCAACAUGCACUGUAACAGCAUUGUCUUUCUUCUACUAGUUUAUGCUCGAUAUGUGAAUAAUGCCAAUAGAGUUGUUCACUGUGAUGAGGGUUGGACACCUUCUAGGCUCAUACAGGUUGCAAAGGCCAGGUACCACUUCAAUACAAAAGCUACUAGUUAGGUUGUGUUAGAUCCCGAGUUAGUGAGGUGAAAAAAAUAAAAAUAGAAAAAUUAGACGAUUCAACUGUUCGACAUCAUUAGAUUAUCUAUCUAUCUUUCUUAUUUAUUUUAUGUCUCUAAAACCUUGAUCCAAACAGAAACAUUAAGGGAAGAUCAAGAUGUUGUUUGAUGAAGAUUAAUCUACUAAACAAAUUAUUAUAACUCCGCUCUGAAAAUGAUCAUGUGUUGCUCCUGACUAUUAGAUAUUAACAUCGAAUUCAUAGAAUGCAUAGUGAAAUAACACAUGAUUUUGAUCAGUGGAUUAAUUACAUACUGGGAAAAAACAACCCAUCAGAUAUGUCACACAUGGUGGGGAUAUGGCAAAAAGUUUCCUAAAAGGAUUCAUCACAAGGGAUCUCACUACCUUCCAUUUCCAAACUCCCAAAGCAUAUCAAUUGAAGGAGGAAGCCUAUAGUUUACAACAACAGAUCAAACCUAAUUUCCUAAAGCGGGCUGUUGUUGGGGCCCAAAUAACGACAUUAGUACGAUGAUUCUCGAGCUAAUUUUGUCCAAUCAGAGCCGACCACAUAUAUAACGCGCCACUUGUUGCGUUUUGACUAAGUAAAUCACAUUAGUAAAUUUCAUAGCAUACGUACAAAAUUUAGGUCAUAAGAGAAGUUGUGUACAGCUCGGAAUCUAAUAUAAACAUGUCGAUUUAUACAGACUCCAAUCAUUGUAUCUCUUGUAAGCCAUAUGAUAAAAUAUGACUAUUUUUCGGCAUUUAAAUGAUCGAGUUUUUUUUAUCAUGUUAGAAUGCUUUAGUAGUUAUGAUCUAUUAUUUUCAUCCGGUCAAAACCAAGUCCAAAUGAUUUUUACUGUUUGGUUCAGAAUUUGUUCAAUUCCGAGAGAAUGGGAAAGGAGGGACGGAAGUGGUGAAAGCUCUUUCUCAUCGUUGCAUCUACUGGAUGUACUUUUCCUCCCGAAUACAUUUUUUUAAUUAGCGAAAACUAUAACUAAUGAAAUUGUGUAUUUUAUACUCCACUACAUAUAGUGACUCGUUGUAUUUUGUAUUUCUUAUAAUUUAGAUAGAAGAGAAAAGGAAAGCAAAAUGCAUUUUGCCGCAAUAAGACACUAACUGCACCCAUCCCUAUAGAGAGUGCCUUAAUUGGUAGGACGAACCAUGAUAUGUACUGUUUAUUAGUAACUGAGCCUAAAGAAAAUUAGGUUAUUUCACAGAUUUAUUUAUACUAUCUCAAGCCUAAAAUAGGGGGUGAGAGGACUAAAGUGAUCCAAUUGAAAAGCUUGUAACAUAAAGGACUAUCUAAAGAAUUUUGAAAGAAUGGGACACGUAAACUCGAAAGAACUAAAUGUAGGGUGUUGUAUAGAAAACCGUUGGGUUUGUUUUCGCUCUAGUCCCUGUACUUCAAGGUUUACACGCGAAUUCCAUUCGGAUUCAGUAGCGGCAGAGAGAGAGAGAGAGAUGCCGCAGAGAAAUAGUGGGUUGGAAUGGGAGGCCAUCUGGAACGGACGGUUCUGCUUCUCCUACAGCAUGGUCGUCGACUCCAGUAUCUUCUUUCCUUGAUUUUGUUAAUUUUGUUAUUCGCCAUCGAAUUUUCCAAUAGGGUUCAUGGUGUCAAUUUCAACUAUCAAUGGGCUUUGGGUAUACGAAGGUAGGAAAGCGGAAGUCCUCGUCUCUCUGCACUCAUCUUCACUAAGGUAAUUCCUCUCUCUCUCUCUAUCUCUUCACCCAACCCACCCACCCACAUGAAUUGAUUGACUUUCAACCUAUUUUCUGAAACGAAAGGAUAAUCUGUGUCUAAUUCGUUCUUUGAGUUCAUUCCACAAUUUAUCAAUUGUUUUUCUUGAUUUGGGCGUGCAAUUAUGAUUAUGUUCUUAGGCAUCUCCAACAAUACUCUUAAAAUUUAUCCAAAUUGUUGUAGAAAAAGGAAUUUCCAAAAAAUUGGGAACGCCUUAUACACUUUCUCCAACGAAAAAUAUUCAAAUUUUCAUCGCCUUUCCCCCCCCCUUCCAUCACCACAAUUUUCCAUGCCAGAAAACCAAAUGAACAGUGUUCAUCUUUUUGAUGAGCUUUCCCGCCCACAGCCGAGUGUUGAGGCCAGACCCAUUGGAUGAGUCCAAGCCCACUUGUCUUCGCGAGGAGUCCAAGUCAGUAGCCAAGCCCAAGCCGAUGAGUUCAUAUGGAGUGUCCAUGUGACGGUGAAACCUAGGAAGGUU
rnacentral:lncRNA from 1 species